UUGCAUUUAAAGUUCAGUUAAUUGUUAUACCAGAAACUGUGACUGUUUUCAAUGUUACAAGAACGUUAGAACAAAAUGCAACCCAGAUAGUACACAGAUGGCAAUAUGUUGCUGACAAUAUUGAUGAAAAUCUUCUAUUAAGACUCUUUCUAAGAAGCAUCAACUCUUCAGGAAAGAGGACAAUAGGAGCAUUUUUCACUUCUCUGUACCUGGGUCGGGUUGAUGAUCUCCUCCCAAUAAUGCAAGAGAAAUUUCCAGAAUUAGGUUUGGUGAAAGAAGAUUGUAUAGAAAUGCCAUGGAUAGAGUCCACAGUGUAUUUUGCAGGUUUUCAGGGUCAAUCACUAGAUAUUUUGCUGAAUAGAACUGGAGUUUCCACGACGUUUUUCAAAGGAAAAUCCGACUAUGUGAAGCAACCAAUUCCGGAAAACGGUCUCAAAAGCAUAUGGAAAUUCCUUAACAAAGAAGAUGCAAAUAGGGCUGAACUGCAAUUCAGUCCAUAUGGAGGGAGAAUAAACGACUUCUCAGAAUCGGAAAUUCCUUUUCCACAUCGAGCAGGCAAUAUAUUCAUGAUCCAUUAUGUUGUAGGCUGGAGUGAAGAAGAGAAUGCAGACUCAGAAAGGCAGAUAAGCUGGAUCCGGGGACUUUACAGUUUUAUGGCUCGUUAUGUUUCAAAAUCUCCAAGAGCUGCAUAUUUCAAUUACAGGGAUUUGGAUAUUGGAAUGAACAAUAAUGAGGUUAAUCCGAGCUACAAACAAGCAAGUGUUUGGGGAUUUAAGUAUUUCAAGAAUAAUUUCAGAAGAUUGGUUCAUGUCAAGAGUCAGGUGGAUCCAACUAAUUUCUACAGGAAUGAACAAAGUAUUCCACCAGUAUCGCCAUGGUAGAAGAACUAUAAAUAUUGUUAGUCAUUAUUUAUUUACCGAAUAAAAAGAAUGUAUCGUGAAUAAUUUAUUUCGUAAAAAAAAUACAUGAUUUACGAAUAAAGUGCCAUCUGAUUUUCUUGACAUCAUUAAUUUGCAUUAGUCUGCAUUCAUUGCAUCGUAAGUUCUGGUUUCGUUUUAAUCUUCAUAUAAUAAAUGAGCAACGAAUUCCAAGAAAUCUAUGGAUUAUAAGAGCAUUUUAAAGAUGCUAUUUAAAAGUGAGAUAUUUUUUUAUUUUAAAGAGUCAAACUUUCAAAAUAAAUUUCAAAAAACUUUUUAUUUUAACCAUUGCAAAUACAAUAUGGGUUUAACUCUCUACCUUUCAAGAGUCAAACUAAUUUUCUAUAUAUUAAUAUUUUAUCAAGAUUUCAUUUAAUAAAUUGCAAAUUCGUGUGUGUACCAAGAUGGUGCACUACGUGGUAGAGUCCACAACAAAUUUAUUUUGUUGAGGAAGAUAAUGAGGAGAAGUAGGAAAGGAGACACAACACGAGAAUAUUCAUGGGAAAUUUUCUUGUCACAACCUCCUUUAUUUGGACAAAGCAAUAAGAAGUUCUGCUACCAAAAAUAUUGGGCGCCUCCCAACUUUCUAAACAAAGUAAUAAAAUAGAUAUUAAAGAAUACUUUAACUAUGAUGUACCACAAAUUCCAAGCACCUCCAUAUUUCCUGUAACAUAAAGUAAGAUAUAGUCAAACAUCAUAAUUGUGAACUCCCGGCCUUCAAUGUAAUUUUGGUUUGUUGCUUACAUUGUUAAUAUUCUUCAUUAGUGUCCAUUUCUAAAUUAUCUAAGAUUUUAUCGAUUAGUUUGGUUGUGUAAUUAAAAUAAUUUUUCCCAGUUACUUAUAACUUCAUAGUAAUUUUUUUUUCUUGUUGACAAUAAAAACAAAACCACAGUGCUAUCAAUAGGGUUAUUGCCAUCUUUUGUUCAAUAUGUAUGUUGCCUGUACAUUUGGACAUGAACAGUUAAGCAUCAAGAUCACUGCACCAAGAAAUGAGUAGUCGAGAGUUGGUAAUCGAAUAAUCUAGUCAACUAUUGAAAUUAUACAAGAACAUGAGAAAAUAGAAACAUGAAGAAUAUGGGUGUGAGAGAAACUAACACAGAUUUUGCUAAGUUUAAAAAAUAGUGUACUGAUCUUUAAAUUUCCCACAAGUGUACGGUAGGAUAUCGUUCCCAUGAUAACUAUGUACUUAAUUUAAUGUCAAUCAAUUGUAACUCUAAUCAAAUAGCAAUUUUUUUUAUUUUUUUUAUUUUUGGGAAGAAUUUGUACUAAUUUAUCUAAUUAAACUAAGUAUUCUAGUGAGCGAAUAUGGGUUUUGUAAAUUUAGAUUGGAUGACUAGUAAGACCUCAAAUCCGUCUUACUAAUCUGUUUCAAUGUAACUCAAUAACAUGGCAAUAUAUGUAUAUUCUUGUUGAUCAAUGUUUCUAGGUUAAUUAAAAGCAUCUCUCAAUAUCAAUUAAAUAUAUCAUCGCAUGUAACCUUUCUACAUCUCUAUGAAUGAUAAAAACACGUAAGCAUCAUUAAAAGGCACUAACAUGUAUAAAAAUAUACAAUGUAUAGCGAUAUAUUUUUAUCUCCUAUCGAACUUUAUAAUCAUUGUUAUAAUGUGCUAUCUAUCCAGUUUUUCUAUCUCAAGAAUAAUGAAAUUCACACAAUAUUCCAACUAUUAGCCAAUUAAUUGGAAAGUAGUAACUUCUAUGACAAUCAUUCAAGAAUAAACACAUAUUGAACGUUAAAUUAUUGAAUUUAUAUUAAAAAUCGUAACAAGGUUUGUCCAUGUCUUAAUAAUUGAAACCCUAGCCUAACAUUACAAAAUUGAAAGAAAUCAUAAUUAAUAGAAAAAACAAAAUUCGAAUUUUAGAUUGACGAAGGAGAAAAUGAAGAUGAAUCUUGAUCUCUUGAAUAUCGUCAAUUGUCUGGAUGAAACUCUAAUUGCCUUCUUCUUGUUUCUACCAAAAAAUCAAGGUUUGAUCUUUAAUUGGUUGAAAUCUUUUCAAUUGUCCCUCAAUUCUCUAUGAUUUGGCCUUUCGUUUAUUCUAAUAGCAGAUGAAAUAUGGUUUAUGAGAGGUUUCCCUUGACGAAUAAAGUUGUUUGGUAUUUGUAGAGCUCAAAAAUUGGAUGAAAAUCGCUUAAAAAUCUGAAGUGGAGAAGAAUUCUAUCGCUGGCCGAAAAUUGCAGCGGAAGUAAUCCAGGUUCGCUUGUGCGUGCAAGCCGGUGUUCACCUCCUGAGCCAGCCCGCCGAUUUGUAAUUAUGGCCGAUGUACAAUUAGGUCCUCAAACUAAUUCUUAAGUCUUUUAAAUUUUUUCAAGAGACCCUUUAAACAUAGAGUGCUCCCUAUUUUAAGAGUCAACUCUUAAAAUCAUUCUUCAAAAAACUUUUUAAAUUAACGUUUUAAUUUAGAGUGUUGUUUUGGUCCAAACUCACCCUCUAUAAUUAAAUGCAUUCAAAGUAUUUCAAUUUUCAAUGUAGAAAAAUAAUAAAAUAAUCUAGGAUAAAGUUGGUUAAAAUAAAAAAUAGAAAAAAAAUAAUAAGUAUUUUUUAAGAAUAGCAAAAUUAAGUGUUAAAUAUAAAGAGCUUGUUAUAGUACUUUAAAAUUUUAACUCUUUAAAUUUAUAUAUGCUCUCCAAAUAAUAGAAUAUGUUAUUUAAAAAUAAAGAGUCUCUUGAAAAUGAUCUAAUCUUAGUCCUUUAACUUCUAAUUUGCAUCCAAUUGAACUCAUAACACCUUCAAUCUUCAUUUUACAAUUCAAAUCAACCACUGAAAAAUUACAAUUAUGUCAUCAAAGUUUAUAUUUCACUAUUUUUCCCCUUUUUAUGUUUAUUUAUUUCAAUUUAGCUUUCAAUAAUCGAUUUUCAGCCAACAAAUGAAAAACACAAUAAAUUAGGCAAUAAUUAAUAAUAAUAAAAACUACGAAAUGUCUGUGUUUUUAAGCUCGGACACUUAAAAAAUACCUCAAAACUUAAACAUUUGUUUGUUCUCAAAUAAAAUCAUAAUCUAAUUUAACAAACAAACAUGCUAUAAAGUUUUAGUUAUCCCCUUUUUAUGUUUAUUUAUUUCAAUUUAGCUUUCAAUAAUCGAUUUUCAGCCAACAAAUGAAAAACACAAUAAAUUAGGCAAUAAUUAAUAAUAAUAAAAACUACGAAAUGUCUGUGUUUUUAAGCUCGGACACUUAAAAAAUACCUCAAAACUUAAACAUUUGUUUGUUCUCAAAUAAAAUCAUAAUCUAAUUUAACAAACAAACAUGCUAUAAAGUUUUAGUUAGAUAACCUACGGUUUAUCUCAAGAUUGGAAUCAUUGAAUUAAAUUCAUAAAUAGUUUUAUGGUCGCAAUAUCAAAAUUAAUAUCAACUUCUCAAAUACAAAAAUGAUGUGAGUGUGAAGAAAUUAGUGAUACAUUAUAAAUUCACGAGUUGUUUUAAUUCUCACCCCUCAAUGGUCAAAUUUAUCUUUUCUUCACUCAUAAGAUUCACACUCCCAAACGCAUUCUUUUUAACUCUUUCUCCAAUGUGUGAUCUACGAUUGAAUUUUUAUACAAACUCCUCACCCUAUUUAGUUUAGAUGAAUCUUACUAACUGCGAGUCAACAUUUCAACAAAUAAGGAUUCUUUGUAUUUUUUAUUGUUUCAACCUUUAAGACUCAACUAGGCUAAUAAUCCCUUGUUAGAAGUCUAAUUUUCUCAAAUAAGUGCUUGAAGCUUAAUCAAUGUACGUUGUACUUAAAUCAUUUUUUUCUAAAUAGACUUCUCUGUAUUAAAAUAUUUAAAUUACCAUUGUAGCAAGCUUUAAGUUGAUGGCUCCCAAGUCAGAUGUCUAUAGGACGUCAAGUUUUAGAUGACAAUAAAGGUCUAAAGUAUAAUAAAAAAGUAAUCAUAGAACCAUUUAAGAAAAACAUGAUGAGGUAGACAUCAGCCAUAAGGCUACAUAAUGUAAAAUAAAAAGUAGGGGAAUCAUUAAAGGGAUACUUUUCAUGUACUUUUCGUCCUUCAGUUCCUUAUCAGACUCCUUUUUGGGAUCAACAUCAUAAUAAUUUUUAUCAACUAAGACGUCUGGGAAACUUCGAAAUCCAUAUCUUCCGCAUUCUCAGUUUCUUUCUCUGUUGCAUUUUGACUCUUGGUAUCGCAAGAAAUUUUAUCAUCUGUAAAUCAUCUAAAUAUACAGAAGGCAACAAAAAAUCAGCUUCAUAAUGAUAGAGAUGAAUUCAACAAAGCAUAAAAGACACAGCCCGAGCACAAAAAGGAUACCAUUAUAUUCAAGGCCAUCAUCCACAGUAUCAUCAGCCUCAGAUCUUGAUUCAACACCAUAUAUCAAGUGCAUUCUCUGGCUCAGAAAUACCUGUACUAUGAGACCCUACAUUACAAAUAUGAUAAAAUUACUAAUUCAUGUCACAGAAUUGUUAACUACUUUGAUACUAUUAAGCUUUGGAAUUGUAUAUUUCUUAAACAGUUAAAUUUUCUAGUAUCAUAAAGUAUUAGAACAAUUACAUUUUUUUGUAUAGAAGUCAGUUAGCAGGUUAGUUAAAGUGUUAGUUUGCCAGCUGGACGGUAGUUGAGUUAGUUAUAUUCUUUUUCUUGGCACCUAUUUAUAGUCUGUACAUCCAUUCAUUUCACCCGAUUCUGAUGAAUAAGAAUUCAAUCUUUCCAUCAUCAUUUGUUCCCGAUAUAAAGUAAAAUGAACAAAUUGUAUGUAAACAUACCAUCAUUUUCUUGGAUUUCAUCGAUCAAGUCUAAUUGAUUUUCCAUGUUUUUGCUACCCUCCAUCGAAAACUUUGGAUCCUCAACUUCAGAAACCGUUUCCCUUUCCAAAUUAUCCUGUGCCAUUGUUUUCGUAUGAAUACCUGCAAUCGUAGAAUGUUAUUGCUGAUUUAGAAAACAAAUCUUGAUAUUAUAAAAGGCAGUUGAUUCUAGAACAAGUUUGAGAAAAAUACCAUCUGACCCCUAUGUCAGAUUCACAUCCAAAUUAUCACCCAUUUCCUUGGUAAACAAUUUUUGCUUAGGAGUUUCUAAUUUUUUUUCAUUGUUGGAGUUCAGUUUCUCAUCACUUUUCUCAACCAACCUUACCGAUCUAUGAGUGCUAUACACCUUUUUCACUGUACACUCUUAUUCCUUUACCUUUCUCCGGUUAAUAGUCCCUAAUGGAGCAGGGGUCGGUGGAAUGGUCUUUUUUUCUUUCCCAAUAUCCUCCUCUUCGAAUUGAGUCUCCACUUUUCUCCUAACCAUUGACACCUGUGCCCUCUUCCUAGUGGUCGCUGCCAAUGCCGGAGUUUCAAUUGCAACCCCCUUUUCACCUUCUUCUCCGACAAUUGUCUUUAUUGUUGAACGCAGUGUAGUAGUCCUUGACGACAAAGUUUUAGAGUCCUCUUUAACAACAUUUCUCCAACAUGUACUCCUCCCAACGGGAGGAAGCACACAUGGAGAUGUUCUUCUGACUUCACCGGUGACUCAAUUGAUAAUUGAGUUCCAAUUCCAUUGGUUUCAAAUAUUCUCCAAUCCCUUCAACCUAUCAUGCCAAUUAUUUACAGAUUUGUCAAUCAAAACGAUUAACAAAUACGAUUAUUUCCUCGAGUGAAAUACGAUUUCACAGCAUUUAGGGCCAGAAAUAUGAAAAAUAUUACUCGGUUCCUUCAAUGUAGCAAGUUAUGGUACACUUACAGAAAGGGAAACAAAUAAAUCAAUUCAAGACAGGGCGGGUAUUAAUUUGAAGAGACCUAUUCGUAAUGAAAAUUGUCAGUAGUCGUCGUAUAUGACAUACACUUAACAAUUUGGUAUUUGAUACAUAGAUAUGAUAGUUAUUUCUUAAAUUAUACAUCAAAUGAAAAACUGUCAAGUGUACGUCACAUAGGGCGACUGUCGAUAAUCUUCAUUACAAAUAGCAUUAUUCCUUACAAUAUUAUUUUGAUUUGGGUCCUGGGAGGCGAGCGACGAGAGUGACAGUGGAAGGCGAAGAGACUGAGAGCCAGAUGAAGUCGUUGAGAGGCGGAGUUGAUGGGGUAAAAUGGGAGAAGUGCCGUGUUUUAGGGCUUUGUAAAGGUUCAAAUUUUUUACAAUCGCAUACCGUAAUUAGUCUCUUUUUACGGCAUGUCAUAGAUGCACGCCGUAAAUAAAUGCCGUAAAAAAAUUGCUUUUGUGUAAUAUAUGUACAUAAAAGUUAUAAAAAAAACCAUAUUUAAAUGAAUACCGAUAAAGUCCAUGCCAUUGAUUUUUAUUUUUAUUUCUGAUAUUUUGAAUUCAAUUUAUUAUUUAUUUUUAUUUUACUUUUCUAGAGAGAAAUAUAUUAUGAGAUUCAUCAAGUUUAAAAUGUAUAUAUUAAUUUAUAAUUUAUUAAAAUAAAAUUAUUCUAUUUUUAUUGAAUUAUUAAAUUCUAAUAGAAUAAAUUGAAAUAAAAUAAUUUUUCAAAAUGAAAACUAAACGUAGUUUUAGCAAUCUUAAAAUAGUUUCUCAUAACCAAAAACUAAAAAUAAACUUGGGACUAAAAACUAAAAACUGAAACACAAACCGAACAGUUCUAAUAACUUAUCUUGAAUUUGAUGAUCGAUAACAUGCUAAUUAAGCCAAAUAUGAAUUAAAAUUUAGUAGGGUUAAUUACUAAAACAAGGACUCCUUACCAUUUUCCUUAAUUGGUUUCUACCUCUAAACUUGCUCCCGCAUUAUUAUUAGUUUCAAUAGUUUAUUUGCUAAUUAGAAAAAUCAAACUCAAAGACCUAAUCGUAAUUGUGUGUUUUGUUGAAAUUAGUUUUAAUUGAAAUAUAAUCAAUAAUAAAUCUUCAUGGAUGAUACUUUAUUCUCUAUUUCUUUUUACUUGUCAACAAUACUGUACUCUUCAAGAAAAUAGCAACCCACAUAUUAUAUUUUGCUCAUUAAAAUAUCAAAUUAUAAAUAGCAAAUUAUAAUAGGACACAAACAUGUAGCAACGAAGUAAAACAUAACUUUCUAUUUCAAGAAUUUAACAUAUAUUCAUUACAAUAUGAUGUGUAAUAUGAAAUCUGCUUCUUACAACAUAAUAAGAUAGAAACAAUAUUUGCUUAACUUAAAAUAUAAGUUGUUGAUCUAAUAAAAUAUGAUCGUCGUCUUCUAAUGCCUCGACAAACAUUAUCCCUAAUAAUCACAUACUCGAAAUAUUGUAAAGUUGACUUGAGUGAGAGUAAUAAUAGCAUGUAUGCACAAAUAAGAUGUAACGCCCCCAAAAAAUUAAGAAUAAAAAUGUAUUUGUUUAUAUGUUAUAUUUUGAAAAAAAAAAAAAAGAAAGAGGACUAAAAUGAAAUAUAUUUUAACUUCAUAUUUUAUUUGGAUCAAAUAAUUAAAUUUUGAUAGAACAUAUUGGUAUUGAGCACAUUGGAUAGCUUUUAAUUAAUUAUGCAUAUUAGACUUGAGAAAAAAUCGAUUUGGAUAAGUCAGCACUAAAAAAUUUUAGUCGAAGAAAUUGAUGAAAACUAGUUUUCUUUUUUUUUUUUUCUUUUCUUCUUUCAAUUGAAUUAGAGUACUGACACGUGUAUGGAAUUAUUGAGCAGGUUUCCUCACAUUAUUGCCACGUGUUUGUUAUUACCGGGAUUGCGAAAUUUUCUUGGGAUAGUACGAGGCAAUGCCUUUGUGUCAAUUGACCUGAUUUAAAAAAUUUGGUAAAUUGCCUUGAUUGAAUAUUCAAAUGAAUUGCUGGCAUACAAAUCUCUUUUAUUAAAAUUACACUUAACUCAGUUGGCUUUUGAAAUUUAUUUGUUGACAAACACGUGUGCAUUUAUAAAAUAGAAACAAUGAGUAAAUGAUGAGUGCUUCAUACUCAUUAUAUUUGUACCACUUAAUUCAUUAUUUUGUUAUCAUUGAGAAUGUUUUAGAACGAAUUUAAUGUAUGUUUUGAUGUUGUGAAAUAGGUUGAUGAAAUUGAAUAAAACAAGCAAAAGUUGGCGAAAUUGGAGAAAAGACCAAAUUGUAAGAGAUCCAAAGUUCGGGGACUAAAGUGAAAAUAUUCAAAAGUUGUGUCAAAUCUCACGAUAAAAAUCCAAGAGUGUUAGGAGUCAACUGGAUGAAUAAAGACGUCAAAAGGAUAAAAUUUAGGCAAAAUAUAAUCACAAAUCAAUUUCUAAUUAAAAAGUUAUGCUCCGAAAUUUUAGCUUCAAAUUUAGACCCUUUUUGACAUGGCAAACGAUCAAAUUAGUUUAUGAUGUCUGAAGAAAAGUGUAGCCCUUUGAAUUAGCUUUCCAACGCAUCUUGAAUUACCUCAAUCAUAUAGCAGAUGCGAAAGUUAAUACAAAAAAUGCUGAAGGACGUGCAAUCCGUUGUUUCUGGCCGAAUCAGAGCCCAACUCACUAAAACUAACAGCAAGCUCAGCACCGUAGUGCCUAUCUUGGACGCCGAGGUGUUGGAUAUGUGAUAAAAUAGUUUUUAUGUUUUUGGACUCUUCUCUUAGCUCAAUUCAAUCCUAAUUCGUCCACGACGCUAAUAUCCUAUAAAUAUCAUUCGAAAAAAACCCUAUUUUCAAUAAGAAUUAGGGCCAAACACAACAAUUGAAGGGGCCAAGAUUGAAGACAAUUCAAAGGGAUUCAAUUAUAAUUCAAAGGAGGAAUCAAGGGAGGCAAGAACAACAUCAAGGGAAGAAAUUGAAGAUCUACAUCCUAGUGUUUUCUACUCUCUUCCUUAUGUUUUCUUAUAUGAAUUUUUUGUGUUUCCAUAGAUUAUUUCAUGAGCUAAAUUUAUAUUCUAGGGAUUGAUUGUAGCCAAAACUUGAUAUUAUGGUUUGAUUAUGUUAUAGCUACUUUUAUUUAAUUUUCCACACAUGUUUAGUUGUGUCAUGAUUUUAAUGCUUUCAAUUAAUUGGUCAUUAAUUGAAUGAUUUUAUGCUUUGAAUUUCAGUGCUCGAGAAAGGAAAAUUUAGGCAUGAUCAUAGGAUUGACACAACAUAUGUUUUAUGGGUUUCGAGCUAUGAAGCUUGCUCCAUAAAAGAAUCAAGACUUCAAUAAAUUCUUGAUUUUGAUUUCAAAUAGAAAUAUUGGAAUUGAAAUUUAUGAUUAAUUUCUAAUCAGUGCUCGAGAAAGGGGAUGAGAAACACAUUAGAAUUCUUGCUUUCAAAAAUGGAAAAAUUGAUUAGAAUAACCGGAUAUAAUUGAAUUGUAAUAGAUGGUUAGGUGAAAUCAUUCCCUAGGCUUUGCCAUCUUGAUUUAUUCGUAUAAUUUGCAUUCCUUGAAUUCGUCACCAAAAUCAAUGUUAGAUUAGUUAACAAUAUUGAUUUCAAAUUCCAUUCGUCUAGAUAAAAUAGAAGCUACCCAAUUAUAGUACUUGGUAGAAAUUAAAUUACAUUCUCUGUGGGUUUGACACUCUUACUUCAAAACUAUAUUACAAAACUUGACAUCAUAUACUUGCGGUAUAAAUCACAUUGCCUAAAUCACGUGGCAAUAAAUUUAGGCCAUUAAAUAGAAAUGCGUGUCCAUUGUAAAAGGAUUUUAGAUGGUAUACACGGGAAUGAUCAAUGAUUAUAGUACACCUUAUAUAUAAAGGACCCAAGUUGGGAAUAAUAGAUGAAUGAUUGUUUUUAACGAACGGGACAUACAUAUAGACACAUCAACAUGUGAAUGUGAAAUAAUUGCUUUUCUUUCAACAAUUCUUUUAAUCUCAUGAGGUAGGAUUACAAGGUGCAAGUGGUUUAUAUCCACUUAAAUUAUUUUUUCAUGUUGAUAAAUGUAAUGCUUAUGAUAUGAUAUGAAAUGGCCACCCCGGUACCUAUAUAUGAUGUGAUAUGAGCUCUUGCCGAUUCUAAAGAUAGAUACAACGAUAUGAUAUUUUUGAUGUGUGAUUCAAUACAUUUAAUCGAAAUUGCACAAUUACUCAUAUCCUACUGAAUAUUCCAUAUACUCACCGUUUUCCCUACUCUUACAAGAUUGAACAGGUCGUUGGUUGGCAUUAGGUGCGGUCAUGGUGCCAAGAUUAAUUUAAACACAUUAAAUCUGGUGUAACGUGAAUAUAAAUUUUAUUUCUAGUAUUUAUUCUAAUUGUGUUUAUUUCAUAAACCAAUAUGUUGUUUGUAGACGAUGAUAUAAUAUAAAAUCCUUUUUUUUUUAUAUAAGAAUUGCUCAUUAAAUUAAAAGGAAGUUUUUGGUAACGACCGAUACUUAUUUUAUUGUAAAUUUUGGGUCGUUACAUAAGAUUUCAUAUUUAGAUAGUGAAUGUAAAGUUGUGACAUACUUAACAUCAUUGAUCAAUCAUUUCCAUUUUAAUUAGAUCAAUCAUAUCUAAAGCAAAAUCAUUUCAAUCUCAAUUAGAUAUAAGCUUUUAUAGUAUUACAAAGUAAUUUGUAUUCAUCCCCGUCUCAUAUUUAAAAUCCCCGCCGCAAUAUCAAAAUUUGCUCAUUGUCAGUCACAUCUUGUGAAGAUAUAAAUUAAGUUAUCUAACUUUAAAAUUCAUAAAAUGUGUCUUAACAUAACGUUUGUUCAUGAUUUUCCGUAGACGUUGAUAUAUGUAGAAUCAAACGUCAUUGUUUAAUAUGUGUACGCUUGAAAUUGGAAAAAUUGCACAUUUGCUAGCAAAAUAGUCACUUAUUCCCAACUUUCUACUAGUUUCUUUUGAAAUAGGAUUUAAAAGAAAAAUUGGAUCCAAAAUAGGGAAGGGGAAUCGGCCAUUGCAUACAAACAGGGAAUAAUUUAUUUCUUCAUUAUGAUAAUGUAAAUAUGUAACUAUUAUUUCCCUUAAUGCAAGUGUUAACUAUAAUAUAAAUAUAUGUUUAGUAAGUACAACAUAAUAACCUUUUAUGUUUUGCUAUAAAUCGUUUAAAAUAACCUCUCAGUAGCACUGAAAUUGUCCUGAAAAAUAUCUUAUGAGGUUAUUACAUUGAAAGUAGUUAAAUUACUAUAUGACCUUCUUCUGGUUAUCCGAAGAUCACGAAAUCGGUAGGAUCAUUCUACUUGUACACUUUUUUUCACAUCUAUUUUCAUAGUACACACACAUGCAAGUGGAUGUGGGUCCACAAUCCCACCUUUGUGAGAAGAGUGUGAAAAUUGAUGUGAAAAAAGCGAUGUACAAAUCGGAUAAUCGAAAUCGGUAUUGUUGUAAGCAUUAAAUGUUGGUUGUGUGCCCAUAUAAUAUAUUUUGCUAUGAUAAAAUAAUAAUUAAUAAAUAAAUUAUGGUUUUAUUUAUUUAUUGUAUUUAUUUAUCAUUGAGCAUGCAAAUUAAAGUGCCGAUAAUCACUUGUGAUAAUAUUAGUUGGUUAUUUGUGUUAAGAAGUACAUUGUGACAUAACUUAUAUUUUGAUCAUAAAUAAUUUGUUCACAACCAAUUUAUAAGAGUUGUCACCUUGUACUGAAAGGUUAUAGUGUAGACAAAUUCACUAUUUAGAUUUUUUAUUUGUCCUUAUCACAUAAGUAAUUAAAGGUGACACUAGUACACUUGGAGUGCAUUGAACAGACCAUGCAUCGAGUUUAAUUUUGUGUUCUAUAGCAUGACCAUGCACAGAAUUAAAUUUUACUUGACCGUUGUGUAUUUUAUCUAAAUGCCUUGAUAGGGUUAUGUAUAUUUUUUUGUGAUUUUAAUGAUUUUUUGAUUCAUGAAUAGGUGACAUCAGUUUGAUUAAUCAAACAUCUUGAUGAUUUAGGAAAGUGAGAAUGAGUGAAGUAGAGAAUAUGAAUUCGUGUUAAGAACCAUCACCCUGAAAAAUGGAUAGAGUGAUUACUUAAAUAUUUUCUAUUAAACGAUUAAAAUAUAACCUUAGUGUUUAACGAUGAUUAAACUUUGACGUCUAUGAUUAAUUUACAGGACUGUUGAAAAAAAAUGAAACUUAAGUUAGUGAGAAAAAGUAAGAGGUAACAAUCAUUUAUACUCGUUCCUAAUUAAUGGUUCUUUGAUUCAAUUAUGAAGAUUAAUAUUCUUAAGUUGUUUAACAAUCUCUCUCAAAUAGAAUUAACAUAUCCUCACAUGUGACUAUGAUGGAUGCGAACAUACAAUAAUGUAUUAAGAAUUUAUGAAUAUUUUAAAAUCAUAUACGGCAAAGGAGUAUAUUUCAAAGGCAAACAAACUAUAAAAUUCAUUUAACUAUUGCGCAUAUAUUUGUAGAGAGAAAUGAAUCCAUGCCAAGAUCAUUCAAAAUUAAAAACGUGCUUUACCAUUAUAUAUAUAUAUAUAUAUAUAGUUAAAGUUUCAUAAUACAAAAUUCAUAAAAAACCUAGCACUAAAAAUAUUUAGCCACUCAAAAUGUUGGAAUUUAACAAAUAAAAUCUAAACGACAUCAUCAAGAAAUUGAUGAAACGUGAUUGAUUCUCAAAUUCCUUGCACAAUUAUUGCUGAAUUAUUGCAAAAAAUUUUGAAAUUAUUUUCUCUAUUGCUCCUGCCGUCUUUCACCUUCUCAGAUUUUUCCAAUUUCAGCGGUCUCCCGUCUCUUCUGCCUUUCGUACCUUCUGUGCGUGCAUAUAUACCCAUUUAUUCCAAUGUCAAUUGUUUAUUUACUCAUAAUUUAAUUCCUUUUCUGUGGUUUUUUUCCUGAGACCUCUCGUGCAACAUCACUCCUCAUAUUUUUCUCUUCAAUUUCGAGCUAUUUCUAGAACAUGUGAUUUUUUCAGAAUUAUUAUAAUGCAUUUUUUCCAUACUAAGUUAUCAGAAUUAGGUACUUGUAUCCCUAGAAGAGAGAUGGUAAGUAUUUCUCAAAAUCACAUCGUCAGUUUCUAGAGUUUAAUCUCAAAGUUCUUACAGGGCAUCUCUCGCUUUUGACAAUCUAAUUCCCUAUUUUUAUUUUCUUUCUUUCUUUUUGACAUCGCCUAUGCAAGACUUAUCUCUAAUAAGCUUUCUAAAUGACUCUUAUCGGGAGCUUUAGGUCAAGGACUCUCAAGUCAGAUGACUAUAAGACAUCAAAUUUUUAGCUGCUCUUGAGGCUUAAUUACCCAAGUCAUUAAGGCUAGGAAGGAAAUAUGGGAUGUAUCAUACUUUCUAUUAUUCAUUGUUAUAUCUUAUGUACAAUACUUACCUCCUCUAAACUUUCUAAAUGACCCAUCUAGUAAGCUUUAUACCCAUGACUCCCAAUUAGAUGGUUAUAUAGCACCAAGUUUUAAAGAUCAUAACAGGCUUAAUCACUUGAGUCAUAAAGGUUUGAAGAAAGGUAUAAGAUGCAUCACACUUUCUUCUAACAUGAUAUUCAAAUUUUAAUUUCAAUCAAUGCCUGUUCUAGACUUCUUAAACCACCGGUAGGAUCCGAGAAUUCCAAGCUAUCUAACUUCUAUGAACACAAUUACUAACUUUCCCACUCUCAAAUUACUUUUUAGCAUUUUUGUUCUAUAUUAAGGAUCUAGGAAUUUACUCAAGCAUAAGUAAUAAAUCAAUAACGCUAUGUGCUCAGAUAAUUAAAUCUAAAAGGAUAAGUACUCAAGUAAAAGCAUGUUACGAUGUUGUCCAGUUCUAGCUAAGUAGGUGUAGGCGCUCUUCAGUAAUGAAUUUCAACACCAAAAGCAAUCCCAAAUGUAUGUCAAUCAUGCCAAUUGCUAAAUUAGACAUAAAUUUCUACUUGGGGCAGUUUAUCAAACACAUUAAAGGCAUCCUAUUUUGCCCAUAAUUUGAAAGGACUGGGCUCUAAUUCAAAGCCAAAAUUCUCCCAUUUCAAACUCACAAUCAAAAUCCAUCAAGUAACUAAACCCAUUCUCAUCAAUUAUUCAAAUUUUUCCAGUUACAACCAAUUAUCUCUUACGUAGAAAGGAGGUCACAGAGAAAUAGAUUACAUUUCUUGAGUUAUCCUUGCCUGGAAUAGAUGAUGAGUAGAAGAUGAAAAUCAACGGGUGUAAUAAUGUAAUGUAGGGCCUAAUGGUGGAUGAAUGGAUGCCGUGAACGCCAGAGUAUAUUCAUGCCAUGGUUACUAUAUGGUAAUGAGUUCAACAAUUUGAAAAAUUGUAGAGAUGGCUUUCAAUUUGAUGAGAUGACGAUUGUGUUUUGUUUUGUUUUGUUUUAUUUUAUUUUAUGGGAAAAAUUCACAUUUUAGGGGUAUUGUUUAGACCAAUUCAAAAGCCAGGUCAACAGUUUAAAAGUUUAAAAUUUAGGUAUGUGUAUAAUUAAUUAAAUAUAAUAAAAUCACUAUUAUACAAUUAAUGGUCACAAAUUCAUAAUUAUCGAUCACAAAUUUAUUUAUUGGUCACAUAUCAUUAAAAUAAUUGGUCACAUAUUAUUUCGAUGUUACAAAUCAAAAUUUUUAUAGGUCACAGAUCAUUCAAAUUAUAGGUCAUAUUUUAUCUAUAGGUCACAAUUUACCUUUUAGUCACAAACACCUAGUUUUUGGUCACAAAUCAGCGAAACAAUUGGUUACAGUCUUACAGAUGACUAAAUAGUUGAUCACAGAUUCCAAACACCCCACUACACCGGUCCCAAUCCAGUACCAAUCUUGGCCACAAAUCACCACCACCCAAUCGACGCUAGCACCAAACUACCGCAACCACCACACAACCGUAACACCACACCCAAUUUAGAUCGCAUUCCAUCACAAUACUUGGUUACAAACACUACUUACCCCCGCCACAACAUCAUCACAAUCACCGCCACCAUCACAUGAAAACCACCACUGCACCAACUAUUGGUAACAACUCAAAUAGUCGGUGACAUAACACUACCAACGCUCGAAAGGCGAUCACUGUGGCGCUCAAACCGCAAGAUAUAUCUCUGUAUCUAUAUCUUUCUCUCUCUAGUAGAAUAAAGCAACCACAAAUUUCCGUCUCUAUGUUCAAGAAUUUCAAAACCCCCAUCAUCCCCAAGUUAGAUCCACUCUUUUAAAAAAAUUUUGAAUCUUCUUGAUCUAAUGCUUAUUCCUUCAUAAGAAACUUCCACCUUCUAUAUAUUUCCUCCCUAUUUAUUCAAGUCUUUUAGUGAGUUGCCACCUAGGUUUUCCAAAAAAUUUGACUAUUUCAUGCCCAGCUACAAUGAACUAAGGAAUGGGGUUUUAGUCUCCUGCGUCAUAUAUGAGUAUAUCAAAUUGGUUGUUCCAAGAAAGUGCGGUGACAAAUUGGACUGGAGAUUUGAAAGCGCUGCUCAUGUCAAGGUCGGUGCCACCACUGUCGAGAGAGGAGAGAUUAGGAAGAAGAGAAGUGGCGCCGAGAGAGAAAGAGAAGUUAUUGUCAUGUGUGUGUUUAGAGAGAGAGAGAGAAGCGAGUUAGGGUUUGGUAUAAGUGGGGGAAUAUUUAAUAUUUUCAAAACCUGAAAUCUGAAUAAAAAACAUUUGGCCUGACUUUUGCACUGUGAUUUUCAAAUAGCCAGAAUUCUGUAAUUUUCACUUAUUUUAUUUAUAUUUAUAACUGGGCGAUAACCCAGUGCAUUAUUGUGCGAUCACCCAAUUUGUUGAAAAUUGGCCUGCUAGCCUUGUGGUGCACCAGAAGGUCCUCCGAUGCUUUUGCAUGGGCGCCGCCUAUGCUACCAGCUGCCCUUAUUUUUCCUAAUGGAGUGUGUGUUGUGUCAAAAUACUUUUAGGAUAAAUUUAUAUAUUUAAGCCUAAAUUCAUGCUCAAGUGCCUAUGAUGAAUCUUGAAUUUACCUAACUGCAUGAAAUUCUACCUAUGCUCCUAAAAUACGAAUGCAAUCCCUAAACUAUAUGUAAUGCAAUAGUUAAUCUAAAUGAGUAGUAAGUGAUUAAAAAAAAAAAAAAAUUGGGUUGCCUCCCAUUGAGAUCUUAAUUUAAAGUUUUUAGCUAGACUUUUGGCAACAAUGACCAUGCAAGGAACUUUAAAGAAAGCUUUGGGUGGUGCCCCGUUUUGCUUGCGUUUGUUGAACUUACACCAAUUUUCAAUUGUUCUCCAAAAGUUUUAUGUUUACCCUUGUCAUUAAAAUAUGGCUUGGUUUCACUACUCAAUUCGAAUUCCAUCAUGUAAACUUUAAUUAUCUCAUUGGUGUUGAUGACAAAUUCAGUUAUUAUGCAAUCAUUGAAGUUGGAGGAUUGCUCAUUAAGGUCAGCAUCGUUGAAUGUUGCCUUUUUAGUUUGCUCUAUUAUGAUCAACUCCUCAUUUCCAUAUGCUCAUCUUCAAUAAUAUAAACUUUUUCGAUUUUAAAGUCUGUAUCCAAAACUUUUGGUGAAGAAACAAUGACAUCUUUAUGGAAAGUCUACUCCUCUUGUUACAUUUGUUGGAAUCAUGGUGGCCAUGAUUUCCUUAAUUGAUAUCCAUUAAUCACUGAUGGAAGAAAUAAUUUCAUAGAAAAAUCACCCACUUCAAAUUUUGGCGAUAGAAGUAAUGCAACAUCACCCAAGACAAUUUCAUAAAGUUCACAUUCCACUUUUAUAUCUCAUAGUUGUUGUACUAUAAUGAAAUCUCCCACAAGCAUAUCCCCCUCAACAAAUUUUUGAGCUAUCAGGUGUCGUUGCCUUAUGAUGAAGUCACGUAUGAGCAUCUUGUUGAAAUCAAUCAUAGUCAUCUUUUAUCUUGCUACUUUUGGUCUUUUUAUAUCCUAAAAAAAAAAAAAUACAAACUAAAGUGAAACAAAAAUAAAAAUACAAGAAUAUAUGUAGAAGUCCGAAUUAGUGCUCAAAAAAUCAAACGCAAACUAAAGUAAUAAUCCCCAAUAGCAGUGUCAAAACUUGUCGCGAAUAUUAUCUUUCGUUUAAAAUACCGCAAAUACAGGAAUCAUUAACAAGUAGUAAAAUGGACUUUGAGUCCAAAUAUCGUACUCACAAAGAUUGUAUUAAUUCAAAUUCAAAUUAACUUAGCCUUAACCAAAACUAUGAAAACUUGUGAUUUUUUACAAUUAAAUUGUUAGCUAAUAAUCUACUUAUGAAUGCAAGCUCUAACUGAACUAAAAUCAAUGCAAAGUUGUAAUUAAAUUCACGUGUGAUGAAAAUAUGAUGAUAAACGUACUAGAAUUUUGAAUCCCCUUUGAUCUUCGAACCUUAUAAUUUGACAACAUGAUAUGAUUCAAUUUUAAAGAUCAAUAUUCCUAAAUUGUUUAACAAUCUCUCUCGAAUAGAAUUAAAUAUGUCCUCACAUGUAACCUACCUAUAUUUCUACAACGGAUGCGAACAUAUAAGAAUGUAUUAAACAUUUAUGAAUACUUACAAAUCAUGGAUAACUAAUGGUAUAUUUCUAUCCCCCUAUUAUGCUCUACGAUAAUUGACAAUUUGUCUAAUAUAUUUUUGAUUUUUCAAAGGUAAAACAAACCACAAAUCUCAUACAACUAUUUCCAUUUAAUUGUAGAGAAAAAGGAAUCCAUGUCAAUCAUUCAAAAUUAAAAAUGUGUUUUAGUAUCAAAAACAAGAUUCAAAAGUUAAUGUUUCAUAAUACAAAGUUCAUUGAAAACCUACCAUGAAAAUUACUUAGCCACUCAUAAUGUCGGAAUUUGACAAAUAAAAUUUAAGUGACAUCACCAAGAAAUUGAAAGAAUGUGAUCUAUUCUAAAAUUCCUUGCACAAUUACUGAUGAAUUAUUGUACAAAAAUCUGAAAUUAUUUUCUCUAUUGCUCAUGUUGUCCUCUAUUCUCUUGUGUUUGUCCGAUUUCAACCAUCUCCUGUGUAAUAACUAAUUUAAAACAAGUAAUAAUAAUAAUAAUAAUAAUAUUGGUCAAAAAUGUCAAGCUAUGGAAAAAAAAAAAGGCAAAAGAAAAAGGGUCAGGCGGCUUAAACAAUUCAUUCCAAUCCUAUAUAUAUAUAUAUAUAUAUAUAUAUAUACAAUCCAAAUCCAUUUGUCCCACAAACACACACACAACACACACUAGAAAGGAAACGAAGCAGAGAGAUAAAAGAAAGAGAAAAAAAAAAAAGGAAAGGAAAGGAAGAAAAAAUAUGAAUGUUCACCUAUGUUAUAAGAAAAUAAGUGCUUCCUACUAGUAAGAUUGAAUUCUUCAAUUUUGAAGGGUAAAUAAAAAGUUACUUAUUACAAAUUAUGUUUAAUUUUAUAGUUGUUAGAUUAUUAGAUUAAAUUCAAUUUUAUUGAAUGAAUUAAGUAUAAUAAGCUAUGAAAUUGAGUUAAAUGAAAGAAAAAUUAGUUUAGUUAUUAAAGAGACUUUAAAAUCGCUUAAACGUGAAAUGAUUAAAUUUGAGUAUCGCCUAUUUAAUUACUGAAAUUACUUAAAAUAAUUAAUUGUUGAUUUAAAUACGGACAUCAAGACACUUAUCAAGUGAGUUGAUUUUGCAAACAUAGCUCUGUGAGUGGAAAAAUAUAUAUAUUUUUAAAGUAUUUAGAAAUUAAAUAUAUUAUUAAAGUAUGCAAUUAUGUGAAUUAUUUGCUCCAUUAUGUGAUUACGAUGAAAGUUUUUUUUUAUUAUGAUCCAUGCUGAAUUUCAAAGAUUAUUUAUGGUAUUUUUGUGACUUGGUAUGUGAUACAUGUAAUAUUGAGAAUUGUUGGGUAUGUGAGAUAUGUGAUAUAUAGAUCGAUCAGAAAAGUAUCCAUGAUUAUAUAUUUCUUCUAGUUCACUGAGGGGCCUUGGCCGUGUUCUAUUCUACACUGAGGGGUUUUGAACCGGGAAUGAAGGGAUCUUAACCAUGUACAUAUAGUUCACUGAAGGGCCCUCGUCGUGUUCUAAAAUUGAUUAUGAGAGGUCUUUGAGACUGGUUUGCGUUCACGGAGGGGGCCAAAGGCCUGUAGUAAAAGUUCUUAGCCCAAGGGGCGGAUUACAUAUUUUAGUCAGAGGGUACAUUUUGGUGAAUUUUUCAGUAUAUUUGAUAUGAUGAGAUUAGAGUACACUUAUCAGUUAAUGUUUAUAGCUUGACUUCGAGAUGAUAUUUUACCACAUUAUAUGAAGGUUACACGUUAUUGCUAUAAUUAUAUGAUGUUAUAUUGCGAGUUAUUCAAUGAUAUGAAAAAGUAUAUUAUUUUCGAACUUCUCCAUUCACUGAACUAUCAACUCAUAUAUUUUUUCGUAAUUUUUCCUACAGAUAGCAAUUGAUUCUUUUUAGCAGGAAGAACCUAAUAAUUUUGGAAUAAGAGCUACACAACAUGUUGAAUGUUAUAACUCAUAUUGAUGAAACACAAAGUAAAUAAUUUGGACCUAUUGCAUUAUAUUUUACAUAAGUAUUUGAUUUUGUUGCAAUUUUUGAAUCAAUUCAUAGUCAACUUUGGUGAUAGAUUUGACAUCUAGUCAGUAUCAAUCAUCGGCGCACGUCACGUUUCGGGUCCACUAGGAUGAUUCGGGACGGAUCGUGUCAUCCUGUCACUUCUACCUUUUGUACCUUCUAUGCGUGUUUAUGUACCCAUCUAAGCUUGGGGAAAAACUCGAAAAACGACCAAACCAAUCAAAUCAAAUUGAUUCAGGUCAGUUCGACACUAAGUAAUUGGUUUAGUUUGGUUUUCUUUUAAACAAAAUUAUAGUGGAUCGAUUCAGCAAACCAACCCAACCCACUUAUAUGUUUAUUUUUUUUUUUAAUUUGAGAAAAAUAAAAAUCAAAAGAUAAGCCCUAAUCUCAUAAGUGUAUCUCGAUUCUCUUCAAUUUAUGAUAUUGUCGGUAAGUAAUGGUACUGAGAAUUUCCUUUCACAAACUCAUUAUAUUAUACUUAAGCAUUUUUUUUCCCUUCUCAAGCAGUCAGACUACAUGAUACAUAAAAACAACAAAUUUUUUAUGUUUUUUAUUAGUUCUCUAUUAAUUUGAUCUUAUUUGUUAGUCAAUAGUUUUUGUAAUUUAAAACUAUUUGAUUAUUUUAGUUCUUGUAAUCUAAGCAGGCUCGAAACUCGAACAAUUUUUUUCCAAAAAAAAAACAAAAAAAAAAAAUAUAUAUAUAUAUAUAUUGGACUAAAAGUCCAAACCGACUUACCAUACCAAACCAAACCAAUAGGUUUGGUUCGGUUUAAAAGCUAAAGUGGGUUAGUUUGAGUUAAAAUUUAUCCAAAUAAACUAAUUUGAUUUUGAUUUUUGGGAUGGAGUCGAAAUCGACCCAAACCAAACCGCGCUUAGGCUAACCCAAUCAAUUCCAAUGUCAAUGGAAUUUCAGUUGCAAUCAAUUUCACCAAAUUGUGCUAAUUCAGAGUUAAAUUAGAAAUCAAUUCUUUUUCAAAUUCCUUCGGCCGCCACUCUUUUUCAUACCAAAGGAGUCCAAUUGUAAGGGUACACCNNNNNNNNNNNNNNNNNNNNNNNNNNNNNNNNNNNNNNNNNNNNNNNNNNNNNNNNNNNNNNNNNNNNNNNNNNNNNNNNNNNNNNNNNNNNNNNNNNNNNNNNNNNNNNNNNNNNNNNNNNNNNNNNNNNNNNNNNNNNNNNNNNNNNNNNNNNNNNNNNNNNNNNNNNNNNNNNNNNNNNNNNNNNNNNNNNNNNNNNNNNNNNNNNCAACCAAAAGAACACAAAAAAGAUUGAAAAUUUCAUGAGGUGAAAAAUUAUAUCAAUAAAAAAUAUUUAAUUAAAAAUUUUCAAUAAAACAAAUUCUAGACUAUUCAAUUUCUUUAUAUUCAUUUUCUUUCCAUUCAAAUUCAACCUUUAUUGCGAACCUUUACUUCAAAACAAAUCUUACACUGAAACAAAAUAAAAUUAACCAAAAUUGUACUUCUAUCAAAAUAUGAAACUCUCUUCAUUAGGUCCAGCUUUAUUAAGGCCCAAAUGGCCUACAAAACUCGGCAAUGGUCAGCCAUAUUUAUAUCUCAGUUCUCUCUGCAUGGCUGUUCGACAAACCGAUGUGGGAUUUGGGGUAUUUCUUAUUUUUUUGUAUUGUUGUGGGACUAGGGUUGGCAACGGUUCGGUUAUGGGUCGGUUCGGCCAAAACCAUAACCGCACCACCAAAUUUUUGACCAUACCAUAACCGCACCAUAACCACGUAAAUCGGUUCGGUUCGGUUCGGUUUUUAUCUCGGUUCGGCACGGUUCGGUUCGAUUAAUAACCACGAAAAUAAUUUAUUUUUUAUAAGUUCAUCCGUCAAAUUGAUAUAAAAAAAUUUAUGAAAAAAGUUAAUGAAAACAAAAACACAAUAUUCCAAACGAAAAUACAAACAUUAUCAAACAAUAUUCCAAACGUAAAUGCAAGCAUUAUCAUAAUUUUCAAUUGUAACAAAUUUAACAAACAAUAUUAUAAAUAUAAUAAUACUAAACUUUUCCUUCAUUCUUAAUUGUUGUGCAUUGAAGUUACUUGAUGCAUUCUUCCCUACAAGUCUUACUAGCAUAGAUCAGCAUUUAAAGUUGAUUCCUAUUCAUCCUUGGCAAUAUUGGCACGUCUAGAAAAACAUCGAACUCUGUUUUUACAUGAUUAGCAGUAAUAGAAUGACUAACAAAUGUAACAAAUUUUCGAAGGCGACGACGAUUUGAACCGUAGAGGCAAUGGAGCCGUGCGUGAGUUUGUGGUUGUGGAGAGUAGGGUUUGUGUUUAUAUACUGUCAUACUUAUGCUAUUAUGGGCUAAUGGUAAGUAGACUGGCCGAAUGAGUCAGGUAGAUGUAAUGAGGAGGGGAGGGAUUUUGUUUUGAUUUGGAUAGAAAAGUAGUGUAAAGCCCAUUAUCAAUUCAACUUUUUUUUAUUUUUUUAGCGGGUAAUCGGUUCGGUUUCGGUUCGACGACGUAAAUACCAUACCCGCACCAUUAUUUGAUUACUUUUUUCUUUUCUUUUUCUUUUUUUUUCAAAUUUUUCUUAUUUUAUCAUUUAUUUAUUAUAAUAGUAAACUGAAAUUCCAUAAACAUAUUUAGUAAACUGAAAUUCCAUAAACAUAUUUAAUUGACUCAACUAUUAAUACUUUUGUCUAUAUAUGUUAUCUCAUUUUAUGUUGAUAUUCAAAGUAGGACCUAAUAAAAAGAUAAAAAUUAAUUGCAGUCUAAUUUACUAAGUGAUUGUUAUAUCUAUAUACAAUUUUGUAAAAAAUAACAUAUUAUAUCAAAUUUUAUUAUAUAUUUAUAUAUUAAUUAUUUUAUUUAUUAGUAGAAGUUUAAUCCUGAUUUGACCUUAGUUCGACCUUUCAACUCUUGAUCCUUUAACUUUUUCGAGUCAAUGGACGGGUCGAUUUUGAAAACAUUGGUUGGGAUAAUCAUUUCUUUUUUAUUUUUUUUUAUUUUUCUUAAAUUGAAAACAUUGAUGGCUAUAUUUGAUUAUCACUUAAGCUUGUGUUAAACAUAAGUAAACAUUACUCUUUAGAUUAUAUUAUGGAAUCACCAGCCCCCGAGGCAUAGUCCAGUGGUGCAAAGGAUAGAAGUGAAGUUAUCUCACUUCUUGUUGGCAGCCGCAGUGUGGGGAUUCGAUUCCUGAGACAUGGAAUUGGACUUUUUGUAGGUGCAGUAUACAUGCAACUCUUGUUCCCUAACCUGUUGAAACACAUCCCACGAUUUACAUCCCUCACAAAACUCUAGGAACGGGAUGGUGAAGAUCCUCAAGGAUGGGGUUCAACCUUUUUCUUUAUUAUAAAAUCACCAAAGUCUACCAUAUAGUGGGUAGGUUCGAGUUAAAUUUAUUUUCUUUUCAUCCAAAUUCCACUAUGAUUGCAAUCAAAUGAACCUUUACUUCAAAACAAAAUAAAAUUAACCAAAAUUGUACUCCUUUCAAAAUAUGAGACUCUCUUCAUUAGGUCCAGCUUUAUUAAGGCCCAAAUGGCCUACGAAACUCAACAGUGGUCGGUCAUUUUUAUAUCUCAGUUCUCUCUGCAUGGCUGUUCGACAAACCGAUGUGGGAUUUGGGGUAUUUCUUAUUUUUUAGUAUUGUUGUGGGACUGGGGAGGAUAUUGGUUUGACAUGGUAAAUUUGAAUUUGAUUACUUUCUUCUUUUCUUUUUUUUUCAAAAUUUUCUUAUUUUAUCAUUUAUUUAUUAUUAUUUCGCGCGGGUUCAUCGCUAACAAUUAAAAAGGGAUCAGACGAUUGUGUAAGGGACAAACCUCUUGAUACAAAAUCUCAAAAAUGGGUGUUCUUUAUUGGCGAUAACUUUACAAUUGGAAAUUAAAAACAGAAUGCCUCCAAGGGGUACAAGCACACGAGUUACUGAAAGAAGUGUUUAAAUCUAAAUUAAGAAAUUUAAAAUUACAUGUUCUCUAUUCGAGAGUUUUUUUUAUUCGGGUUCCUUUUACUCUAUGUUUUUUCUUCCUUUUAUACUCCCUGGAUGAUCUCUUUGUAAUCAACCGCCUAAAAACUAUUUGAUCGUUCUAUAACUGCCCACUUCCUCGUAAUGGCCAACUUGUCAUGGAAUUACCUUUUUUAACUGCUGCCAUUACUCUUCGUCGUUCAACCAUUUUCGAUUGAAUUCCUUGAAUCGUGGAACGUGAUAGGGCUGCUUAAUAACUGCUUUGAUAACUGUGCUUCUUGAUAACCAUAACACUUCAUAUUUGCUAAGACCUUGGGCGACUCGAAGGUUUGGACGAGAAUAGAGUAGCAGUUCUGGGCGACUGCAUGGCAUUCCAUUCGCUCAAAUCCUAGGCGACUUGCAAGCUUGGGUGAUGGUGUUACCGCGUUCAUGGGCCUCCCUAUUUGGGCCUUUAUCCUGAAUUGUCUGAUUGGGCUUUAUUCUUUGGGCUAUCUGAUUUAGGGAUCCUCCAAUUGGACUUCAUUCCUUGAGUCGUUCGAUUUGGGCUGAAUUUUUAUGUGUUAACAAUUAUAAUAUUAAACUGAAAUUCCAUAAAAAUAUUUAAUCGACUCAACUAUUAAUACUUUUGUCUGUAUAUGUUAUCUCAUUUUAUAUUGAUAUUCAAAGUAGGACCUAAUAAAAAGUUAAAAAUUAAUUGCAGUCUAAUUUACUAAGUGAUUGUUAUAUCUAUAUACAAUUUUGUAAAAAAUAACAUAUUAUAUCAAAUUUUAUUAUAUAUUUAUAUAUUCAUUAUUUUAUUUAUUUGUAGCAGUUUAAUCCUGGUUUGACCUCGAUUUGACCUUUCAACCCUUGUUCCUUUAACUUUUUCAAGUGGAUAGAUGGGUCGAUUUUGAAAACAUUGAUUGGGAUUAUCAUUUCUUUUUUCUUUUUUAUUUUUCUUUAAUUGAAAACAUUGAUGACUAUAUUUGAUUAUCACUUAAGCUUGUGUUAAACACAAAUAACAUUCCUCUUUAGAUUAUAUUAUAGAAUCACCAAAGUCUACCCUAUGGUGGGUAGGUCCGAGAUAAAAUAUGUUAGAUGAUUACUCUUUCAAUAAAAAGGAAGUCUUCUCUAUGAAUAUAAGAUUAUUAUAUAAUUUAUCUUUACCUACUUCUUCCAAAAAUUAUAUCCUUGGAGAUUUAAAAUUGUUCAUGAUUUAUGCAACGAAAAACUUGUGCUAAUUAAAGAACAUCAAUUUAUUCAAUAAGCGGAAACUUUCUUGGACCACAAAGAGAUCAUUUUUCUUUUAAAUUUCAAUGUGCUAAUACUUAUAAAAAACGAUCACAACUUGAGGGAAUUUUUUCUUGUUUUGACAGCAAUGUUUGAAUUGUCAAAAUCCUAUGAAUCAUGAUGCGUAAUAAUUCAAAAUUCAUUUUGACACUCUAUUAGAAAAUUCAUUGAGAAACAUCUAUAAAUACAUGCAACUUUGUACAUAAAUAUGUAACAAAUUAGAAGCUAAAAAAAGAAGAAGCAAAAAUGCAGAUUUCAGGCAGUAUAUUACCAGUUUUUCUUUUGGCAUUCAUUUUUAUUUCGGGAGCUUCUUCUGCUCAUGACAAAAAUGAUUUUCUUGAAUGCCUUACCCUUCAGUAUCGAAAAUCCAACUCAGAAACUGAUUCCAUUUACACCCCAAAAAAUGCAUCAUAUUCAUCUGUUCUCCAAUCCACGAUACGCAAUCUAAGGCCGGCAUCAAACUCCGGCCAGAGACCUUUCGUGAUCAUUACACCGGAGCAUGAAUUUGAAAUUCAGGCAGCUAUUUAUUGCUCAAAGAAACUUGGGAUUCAGCUAAAAGUGCGAAGUGGUGGACAUGAUUAUGAAGGACUUUCAUACAUUUCUGAAACUCCUUUUGUCAUUGUGGAUAUGAGAAACCUAAGAUCAAUAUCCGUGGACACAGAAAAAAACACUGCAUGGGUUCAAACAGGUGCAACACUUGGUGAACUUUAUUACACAAUUGCUGAAAACAGCAGGACUCUUGCUUUCACUGCAGGCGUUUGCCCGACGGUGGGUGUUGGAGGGCACUUCAGUGGCGGAGGAUAUGGCAUGAUGUCUCGUAAGCAUGGUAUUGCAGCAGAUCACAUCAUUGAUGCCAAACUAAUUGAUGCUAAUGGCCGAAUUCAUGACCGAAAAUCCAUGGGAGAAGAUCUCUUUUGGGCCAUUAGAGGAGGUGGAGGAACCAGUUUCGGGAUUGUGGUUGCAUUUAAAGUGCAAUUAAUUGUUAUACCACAAACUGUGACUGUUUUCAAUGUUACAAGAACGUUAGAACAAAAUGCAACCCAGAUAGUACACAGAUGGCAAUAUGUUGCUGACAAAAUUGAUGAAAAUCUUCUGUUAAGACUCUUUCUAAGAAGCAUCAACUCUUCAGGAAAGAGGACAAUAGGAGCAUUUUUCACUUCUCUGUACCUGGGUCGGGUUGAUGAUCUCCUCCCAAUAAUGCAAGAGAAAUUUCCAG
rnacentral:lncRNA from 1 species